rnacentral:rRNA from 1 species
UACAGAGGUCCCAAGCGUUGUUCGGAUUCAUUGGGCGUAAAGGGUGCGUAGGUGGCGCCGUAAGUCGGGUGUGAAAUUUCGGAGCUUAACUCCGAAACUGCAUUCGAUACUGCGGUGCUUGAGGACUGGAGAGGAGACUGGAAUUCAUGGUGUAGCAGUGAAAUGCGUAGAGAUCGUAAGGAAGACCAGUGGCGAAGGCGGGUCUCUGGACAGUUCCUGACGCUGAGGCACGAAGGUCAGGGGAGCAAACGGG